rnacentral:lncRNA from 1 species
AAAAAACGAAACCCCCAAACUCUUAUUCACCUCCCUCAUUCCUCUCAACCCUUUCUCUUUCAUNUCUCUCACUCCAACAUUUUCUCUGUCAUUCCUAUUGCCCCAAUUGAAACAAAAAAAUCAUAAACUUUUGCCUAACCCUUGUCCUUUUUCCUUUACACAAAGUGUUUCUUUUUCCUUUCUCUGUUGGUAUGGGCCAACAUUUUCUCUGUCAUUCCUAUUGCCCCAAUUGAAAAAAAAAAUCAUAAACCCUUGCCUAACCCUUGUCCUUUUUCCUUUACACAAAGUGUUUCUUUUUCCUUUUUCUGUUGGUAUGGGAUACAUGAUGUAAGAUUACAACCUAGAAUUGAAAGAAUUGUACUCCUAGGGAAUUCUUCUAUACCUAUUUCUUUAAUUUCCUUAUGUCAUUUUUUUAUCAUUGAAUCAACUUCUACAGGCGUUUAGAAUAAACUUUAACCAUUGUGCAAGAUAAAAAACAGUAAAAUCAUUUUUUACCUUUGAGAUUUGGGAAGAGUAACAUAAAAUGACAAAGUUUAUAUUCAUUUUACACAUUAAUAAAUAUAAAAUGAUUAUAAAAGAGUAAACUUUUUCAAUUUUUAAAAAAUAUCUCUGAUUCAAAUUGCUACCAUCAUCUUCAAUCGGGUUGAGAUGAGAGAAAAAAUGUUGGAAUGAUGACAGAGAAAAUGUUGAGAUGAGAGAGAAAAUAUCUCUGAUGACAAAGGGUUUCUGAUUUUUUUUUUCAAUUGGGGCAACAGUAGGGAUGACAGAGAAAAUGUUGGAGUGAGAGAGAUGACAGAGAAAAUGUUGGAGUGAGAGAGAUGACAGAGAAAGGGUUGAGAGGAAUGAGGGAGGUGAGUAAGGGUUUGGGGGUUUCUUUUUUUUUUCUUUUUUAGUUUUGAGAAUGAAAAUUAUUUAAAUAUCCUUAACCUUAAAACUUAGAAUCCAUGAUAAAUGAGGGUAUUUUUGUCUAUUAUAAUCCGGUACACAUUGUUAAAACGUACCAACUGAAAAACAGGCG